rnacentral:misc_RNA from 1 species
AAUUGCACUUCCUGGGGUUCAGGUUCAGGUUUCCUGUGUCGGCUCACCCAUUGUUACUGGCGCUGUUUUUCUUGGGGUUUUUUAUCCGGCUUUUGUCUUUGCAUGUCCUCUCCUGUUCUUCCUGGGUAGUAUAGAUCCUCCGGUGACUACCCUUCAGAGAUGGUGGCGAUGUUGCUACCCGUUCCUGUUGCUGCUCUAUUUCUGAUUGCUUUAUUCUGUCUUAGUGUUUGGUUUUUGGGGCUGG